CCUGUGAGCUUCAUUGUGAGUCAACUUUGAAGGAAGGAUUAUUUGUGUUUUUAUUGGUGUGGUGGUGUUCAUUUCAGAUGUAUUUAUACAGCGGCUGAAGUGCAGAUGACAACAUAUGACUGGAAUUAUAUCUCUCAUAGAUGAGGAAGAGCCUCAUCUCAAGAUUCACAGCCUUACCAAUGAUCCUUCAACAGUGGGG